UGACGAGCGAGAUCUUGAGAUAUACAAAGCCAUGUGGGAAAGAAAUUUACUGGGUGAAAGAAUCAUGUGAGAAACUGCUCCUCUUUUAUUAUGUUUAUGAUCAACUGAGGUAAAAUUAAAUAGGCUGACAGGUGCCAAGCACAGAGCCUGCGAAGAUGCAGUGGCCUUGGCAACAAUCACGGUCUUUGGAGCAUCGUGCCAAGGUAUCCCCGCAUCCUUCGAGGAGUUUCCUAGUGACAAUCCCGUUCUCCCCUGGAAAUUUUGUUAGCAAAAGUUAUGGUUAGAGAUCUGUAUUUUAACUUACCUAUUGCAAGUGCCAUCGAAACCACAAAAGAGAUGAACAAAAGCUGCAAAACCAUCCAUUGUGUUGUGCAAAUUGUUGCCUCGAAUAGGCUAGCUUUUAUACUCUGGGAGUGAAUGCCAUAUAAUAAAAUUAGGUCCGCUCUAAACAUC
rnacentral:lncRNA from 1 species